CUGACUAUUGCUUGGUUGGAACAUGAAUCAAAUUUUCAUGACGUUGACACGCAUCACAUUUUAUCACUAAUUCUUUUGCAUUCUCCUUCAUAAUAGGCCAAUAGUACCCCUGUUGUAGAGCUUUGAAUGCAAGGAUAAUAACCCCUUUAUGGUUGUUGUAAAUUCCUAUAUGUAUUUCCAAUAACGCUUCACGUGCCUCAAUUGUGCUCAAGCACGGCAAAAUGAAACCUAGCUUAUAGAACUGACCAUCAAUGAUGGCGAAUAAGGCUAUUCAAUUUUCGGUCUCUUAGCCUCAAAAACAUCCUUUGGUAAUUUAUCUUCCACAUGAUAAUCGAUUAGAGGGUCCAUCCAACUUUUCUCAUGCUCCAUGUGUGCUACGCUUGGCUAUUGCAGGACUUGUACCUUUACCAUGCUACGCAGAUUUUUUUGAAUUUUGAUAAUAACGUAAAUUUUUAUGUCUUUCAUCCAUUUAUACUUGUAUUUGUACAAUAAAUUGAUGCCUAAAUGCAUUAGGUACCUUUAUAUCUUGAUUUAGGUUGCAAAGUGGAUGAAUACGAUGGAAAAUACAAGAAAUAAGUGAAAAAAAGACUAAAGUGGAAGAAAUUGGAAGUGCAGGGACCAAGUUGCAAAUAAUUUAAAGAUGAGAUGGGCGAUGGAAUGAUGAUUCCAGAAGGCAAGGGGUAAAUUGGGUACAAUUAGAAGUCAAAAAAAGUGAAAUAUGACCACAACAUUUUCACAAAACAAUUUUCAACUGUACAAAGAUGUUCCAGAUUUUCAACCGGAGAUUGAGAUUCAUUUUUGACCUAGUAAAUGUUCGAAUUGGAAAAGGGAUACCCUCUAGAAAUAUUAUAUCUCUUUGCAUUAUCUUUCCAACGCACUUUAAAUUGCCUCAAUCGAAUAUCGGGAGAUAAAGUUAUGAACAAAAUAUUGAAAGCUGUCUGGCAGAGAAAAAUGGCAACAACCAUGUGACCGCACAACUUUAUACCAUGCGAUCGCACAUAGUGUUAUAGACAAAUUGAUGGCUGAAAAUUGUUGUUUCAUGUGACCACAACACCAAUAACCAUGCAGUCGCAUAGUUCAACUCUGAGGCGAGAAUCUUGGUUUCCUAAUUUUAAUCAAACAUUUAUUGAAACAAAUCUCUUUCAUGAUAUUUAAGCCCUAGAACAUCCCAAAAUGCAGAAUACACAUCUCUAUACUUAUUUUUCUCUAGUUUUUGUGCAAGAUAUCCAUGGAGAACUAAAGAUCUCGAUGAAGCUACGAAGGAACUCAAUCCUGACGAUUUCAAAAUCUUUUAAUUCAUGUAAUUUGCUUUUUCAUUGUCAAACAAUUCUAGGGUUUAAUUUCCUUAUUACAAAUAUGUUUUGAAAUUCGUUUAACGUUUAUUAGAUUCAAUCAUGGUUUUCCCAUUG
rnacentral:lncRNA from 1 species